ensembl:snRNA U6 U6 spliceosomal RNA
GUGCUUGCUUCGGCAGCACGUAUACUAAAAUUCGAACUCUACAGAGAUUAGCAUGGCCCCUGGGCAAGGAUGACAUGCAAAUUUGUGAUUCCAUAUUUUA